GAAACUGAACGAGCGUUUCUCAGAAACGACGCAGAACUUCUCGAAAAUAUCCUGACCCAUCCCUGCCCUUCCUAUCGGGACUUUUCCGGCCGAUCUUUGUCCCCUCAGAACACGACAAACACACAAGAGGACCCGGCUUCGGGCAGAUUCCCAGCUCUCGCUCCCUCUCCAGCCCACCAUGGCCUUACCACCAGUCGCCGUUGUAGUCCUUCUGGGAGUCGCUGUGGGAGUUGUAAUUGCAGGAGUGGCAGCGAUGGCAAAUCGCCAGAGCCGGAAUGCCACUGGGGGAAACCAAAGUCAUCCUGGCAAGAAAAAAACUCCUGAUUACCACUACCAGUGAUCAGGAACAGAUUUGCUUCCUUCCAAGCAGCCGGCUUCAUGUCUUCACACUGCAGGAAUGGGAAAGCCCCCACUGAUCCCCCACUACCCCUCGAGCAGAUUGGGAUUGCCUUGAGGUAUAAUGCUUUGAAAGCUUAAUAAAAAUGCAUUGCUGGUG